rnacentral:piRNA from 1 species
UCUAGAAACUGUUUUUUAGGC